GACGAACCGUGCGAACGUUGUUCGGAAUCACUGGGCUUAAAGGGCGCGUAGGCGGGCGGCAAAGUCAGGGGUGAAAUCCUCCAGCUUAACUGGAGAAGUGCCUUUGAUACUGGUCGUCUUGAGGAAGGUAGGGGCAUGCGGAACUGAUGGUGGAGCGGUGAAAUGUGUUGAUAUCAUCAGGAACUCCGGUGGCGAAAGCGGCGUGCUGGACCUUUUCUGACGCUGAUGCGCGAAAGCCAGGGGAGCAAACAGG
rnacentral:rRNA from 1 species